rnacentral:rRNA from 1 species
CUUGAACGCUGGCGGCAGGCCUAACACAUGCAAGUCGAGCGGAGUGGCGGACGGGUGAGUAAUGCCUAGGAAUAUGACUGGUAGUGGGGGAUAAAGUCCGGAAACGGGCGCUAAUACCGCAUACUAUCAGAUUAGCCUAGUGCGGAUUAGCUAGGUGGUGGGGUAAAGGCUUACCAAGGCGACGAUCCGUAACUGGUCUGAGGGGUUGAUCAGUUACACUGGAACUGAGACACGGUCCAGACUCCUACGGGAGGCAGCAGUGGGGAAUAUUGGACAAUGGGCGAAAGCCUGAUCCAGCCAUGCCGCGUGUGUGAAGAAGGUCUUCGGAUUGUAAAGCACUUUAAGUUGGGAGGCGUUACCAACAGAAUAAGCACCGGCUAACUUCGUGCCAGCAGCCGCGGUAAUUA